rnacentral:rRNA from 1 species
AACGAACGCUGGCGGCAUGCCUAACACAUGCAAGUCGAACGCCCCGCAAGGGGAGUGGCGAACGGGUGAGUAACGCGUGGGAACCUACCCAGCAGUUGGGGAUAACCGCGGGAAACUGCGGCUAAUACCGAAUACGUCCUUCGGGAGAAAGAUUUAUCGCUGUUGGAGGGGCCCGCGUCGGAUUAGCUAGUUGGCGGGGUAACGGCCCACCAAGGCGACGAUCCGUAGCUGGUCUGAGAGGAUGAUCAGCCACACUGGGACUUAGACACGGCCCAGACUCCUACGGGAGGCAGCAGUGGGGAAUAUUGGACAAUGGGGACAACCCUGAUCCAGCAAUGCCGCGUGAGUGAUGAAGGCCUUAGGGUUGUAAAGCUCUUUUGCCGGGGACGAUGAUGACGGUACCCGGAGAAUAAGCCCCGGCUAACUUCGUGCCAGCCGCCGCAGUAAUAC